ACCUUCUUUCAUAAGCGCUGUGCUGAAGCUACAGAAACUAGGAUCACACCUUGGUUUUUGUAAUAAUGCUACCAGAGCACACACAAGAAGAAAAGAAACUGCACUAGGCUGUGAAGACUAGGGCGGACCACCUCUUGCUUAAUGUCCAGUGUCUUUUGUCUUAAGAUUUGGUGUGAUAUAG